rnacentral:rRNA from 1 species
GAUGAACGCUAGCUACAGGCUUAACACAUGCAAGUCGAGGGACCGGCGCACGGGUGAGUAACACGUAUCCAACCUGCCCUUUACUCGGGGAUAGCCUUUCGAAAGAAAGAUUAAUACCCGAUGUAAAGGAUGGGGAUGCGUUCCAUUAGGUUGUUGGUGAGGUAACGGCUCACCAAGCCUUCGAUGGUUAGGGGUUCUGAGAGGAAGGUACCCCGCAUUGGAACUACGGCCCGGUCCAAACUCCUACGCGAGGCAGCAGUAAGGAAUAUUAGUCAAUAAGCGUUAGCCUGAACCAGCCAAGUAGCGUGAAGGAUGAAGGCUUAUGGGUCGUAAACUUCUUUUAUAUAAGAAUAGGUAUUAUAUGAAUAAGGAUCGGCUAACUCCGUGCCAGCCGCCGCGGUAAUUC